rnacentral:lncRNA from 1 species
UCCAAACCCUGUCCCCGUCUCCCACCUGCAGAGCCACCUGUUCCCUGCUGGUGACGGACCAGAGCUACCCCCCCGAGGAGCAGGUGGCCUGAGAGAGCCUGCACAAUGUGGACGGCGACAGCUGCUUCUGCGACACCGACUUCCACCUGAGCCACGCUCUGGGCAAAGAGGCGGCCGGCGGGCCUCCCCCGGAGGCAGCAGCACCUCCACCAGCGGCAAGGUGGACCAGGUAUGCAGCGGCUACCAUGCGUCACUCAUCCAGCCUCACCAGUCAUCUGCACUCAGACUCAAGCCCCAACUGUCUUCUAACACUGGCAUCUGCACUCAAACAGACCCAAGCCUCAACUGUUUUCUAACUCCUAACACUGGCUUCUGCACUCAAACAGACCCAAGCCUCAACUGUUUUCUAACUCCUAACACUGGCUUCUGCACUCAAACAGACUCAAGCCUCAACUGUUUUCUAACUCCUAACACUGGCUUCUGCACUCAACAUUCAAGCCUAAAACUCAAGCUCAACUGUCUUCUAAUGUCUAACACUGGCAUCCGCACUCAAACACACUCAAGCCUCAACUGUCUUCUAACCCCUAACACUGGCUUCUGCACUCAAGCCUCAACUGUCUUCUAAUGUCUAACACUGGCAUCUGCACUCAAACAGAUCCAAGCCUCAACAGUCAUAUUUCAUAUUGAACAUUCUAAAGUCAAUGAACCAGUCACAUGGUCUGCAGCGCCCCCCCCCCCCCAAUGCUUCAAGUACAUAGAGCUAAGGAAACUGCAAACCAAAUAAGACAUACACUUCAGGACAUAAAACGACACAUUAAAUAGAGGAGGCUUGAGAAGGUUGCUAUCUCCAACAGGACCAAGGGUCAAAUCCUGGCUUUGGGGACCCCGGCCUUAGGGUUUCAAUGGCCCAUCUUUAACUCCUGCUCUUCUCCCCAGGACUACAUGAUCGCCUUGUCACUCCAACAGCAGCAAGGGGGCACUCCGCUGAGUGACCUGGAGUUGGCCCAGCAGUUGCAGCAAGAGGAAUACCAGCAGCAGCAGCCGGCCCCGGCCCCCGGGUCCCCCGCCCAGGUACCCCAAGACAAGUCCAUCAAUACUGCAUUUAUUCUAUUUAAUAUUACAUUUAUCAAUAUUAUAUAUCAGUAUUAAUAUCAAUAUUAUAUAUCAGUUAUAAUAUCAACACUAUAUUUAUUCUAUUUAAUAUUACAUUUAUCAAUAUUAUAUAUCAGUAUUAAUAUCAAUAUUAUAUAUCAGUUAUAAUAUCA